rnacentral:rRNA from 1 species
UACAGAGGUCCCAAGCGUUGUUCGGAUUCACUGGGCGUAAAGGGUGCGUAGGCGCCGGGUAAGUCUGAUGUGAAAUCCCGCAGCUCAACUGCGGAACUGCAUCGGAUACUCUCCGGCUAGAGGAAUGGAGGGGAGACUGGAAUUCUCGGUGUAGCAGUGAAAUGCGUAGAUAUCGAGAGGAACACCAGUGGCGAAGGCGAGUCUCUGGACAUUUCCUAACGCUGAGGCACGAAAGCCAGGGGAGCAAACGGG